AAUACGGAGGAUCCGAGCGUUAUCCGGAUUUAUUGGGUUUAAAGGGUGCGCAGGCGGCCAUUUAAGUCAGCGGUUAAAUCGUGGGGCUCAACCCCAUUCUGCCGUUGAUACUGGGUGGCUUGAUUGCGGUCGAGGUUGGCGGAAUUCGUUGUGUAGCGGUGAAAUGCAUAGAUAUGACGAAGAACACCGAUUGCGUAGGCAGCUGACCAGACCGCAAAUGACGCUCAUGCACGAAAGUGCGGGGAUCGAACAGGAUUAGAUACCCUGGUAGUCCGCACAGUAAACGAUGAAUACUUGUUUUCGGCGAUAUAAUGUCGGAGGCAAAGCGAAAGCGAUAAGUAUUCCACCUGGGGAGUACGCCGGCAACGGUGAAACUUAAAGGAAUUGACGGGG
rnacentral:rRNA from 1 species